rnacentral:lncRNA from 1 species
UUCGGGAUGGUGACACUGGGGGUGGUGACACAGUCGGGGUGGUGACACAUUGGGGGGGUGACACUGGGGGUGGUGACACAUUGGGGGGGUCUCCAGCAGAGGACGCAGCUGUGGUGGCACGAUGGCUUUAAUAGGACGGGGGAGGAGGGGGGGAGGGGACACCCCAUGGCAUCGUGUGUCCCCAAGGGCCACAGCAGUGUCCCCAAGACCUUAAGGACCCCAUAGAAGUGUCCCUAAAGUCCACGGCGGUGUCCCCAAGGGCCACGGUGGCAUCCUGUCCCCAUCAGGGCUGACCCCAAGACCCCAUAGAGGUGUCCCCAAGGGUCACGGCGAUGUCCCCAAGGCCCUGAGGACCCCACACAGAUGUCCCCAAGGCCCCAUAGAGAUGUCCCCGAGGGCCACAGUGUGACCCCAAGACCCCAUAGAAGUGUCCCUAAAGUCCAUGGUGGUGUCCCCAAGGCCCCAAGGACCCCAUAGGCCACAGUGUGACCCCAAGACCCUGAGGACCCCAAGGGGGGGGGAGGGGGGGCGAACCCUAUAGGGACAUGGGGACCCUAUAGGGACAUUGGGGGGGAUGGACCCUAAAGUCCCCAGCGGUGUCCCCAAGGCCCCAAGGACCCCAUAGAGGUGUCCCCAAGGUCAUGGCGGUGUCCCCAAGGACCCCACAGAAGUGUCCCCAAGGGCCACAGCAGUGUCCCCAAGACCCCAUACAGAUGUCCCCAAGACCCCGAGGACCCCAUAGAAGUGUCCCUAAAGUCCAUGGCAGUGUCCCCAAGGACCCCAUAGAGGUGUCCCCAAGGACCCCACAGAAGUGUCCCCAAGGUCCAUGGCAAUGUGUCCCCCACACCCUGUCCCUAUUUCUUGAAGCGAUCCAGCGCAGUCCGCGUCCCCAUUGUCCCCUUUGUCCCCUUUGUCCCCGUUGUCCCCUUUGUCCCCGCUGCGAUGUCCCUCCUGUGCUGCUCCCGCUGCUCCACGCUGCGCUGGAUGGCGGCCUGGGGGGGGCGAGGGGGACAUUGAGGGAC